AUGGCAGAAGGGCAGGUCCUGGUGCUCGAUGGCUGAGGCCAUCUCCUGGGCUGCCCGGAGGCCAUUAUGGCCAAGCAGGUGCUUCUGGGCCAGAAGACUGUGGUCGUGUGCUGUGAGGGCAUCAAUAUGUCUGCCAAUUUCUACAGAAAUAAGUUGAAGUACCUGGGUUUUCUCCCCAAGCGGAUGAACACCAACCCCUCCUGUGGCACUUCCGAGCCCCAGCCGCAUCUUCUGGCAGACAGUGCAAGGCAUGCCGCCCCACAAGACCAAGCGGGGCCAGGGUGCUCUAGAGUGCCUCGAGGUGUCUGAUGGGAUCUCACAACUCUAUGACAAGAAAAAGCGGAUGGUGGUUCCUGCUGCCCUCAAGGUUGUGUGUCUGAAGCUUACUCAGAAGUUUGCCCACCUAGGGCACCUGGCUCAUGAGGUUGGCUGGAAGUACCAGGUGGUUAACGGCCACACUGGAGGAGAAGAGAAAGGAAAAAGCCAAGAUCCACUAUCAGAAAAAGAAGCAGCUCACGAGGCUACGGAAGCAGGCUGAAAAGAACAUUGAGAAGAAAACUGACAAACUCACAGAGGUCCUCAAGACUCAUGGAUUCCUAGUCUGAGCCCAAUAAAAUUGACUGUUUAUUCUUCA